GCCAGCCGCCGCGGUAAUACGGAGGGUCCAAGCGUUAUCCGGAUUUAUUAGGUUUAAAGGGUCCGCAGGCGGGAUAUUAAGUCAGUGGUGAAAGCCUACAGCUCAACUGUAGAACUGCCAUUGAUACUGAUAUUCUUGAGUGUGGUUGAAGUAGGCGGAACAUGUCAUGUAGCGGUGAAAUGCAUAGAUAUGACAUAGAACACCAAUUGCGAAGGCAGCUUACUAAGCCAUUACUGACGCUGAGGGACGAAAGCGUGGGGAGCGAACAGGAUUAGAUACCCUGGUAGUCCACGCCGUAAACGAUGAUCACUCGUUGCUAGCGAUACACUGUUAGUGACCAAGCGAAAGUGUUAAGUGAUCCACCUGGGAAGUACGUUCGCAAGAAUGAAACUCAAAGGAAUUGACGGGGGCCCGCACAAGCGGUGGAGCAUGUGGUUUAAUUCGAUGAUACGCGAGGAACCUUACCAGGGCUUAAAUGCAGAAUGACAGAUUGGGAAACCAGUCCUUCUUCGGACAUUUUGCAAGGUGCUGCAUGGUUGUCGUCAGCUCGUGCCGUGAGGUGUCAGGUUAAGUCCUAUAACGAGCGCAACCCCUAUCAUUAGUUGCCAGCGGGUAAUGCCGGGAACUCUAAUG
rnacentral:rRNA from 1 species